GACGAACGCUGGCGGCGUGCUUAACACAUGCAAGUCGAGCGGUAAGGCCCUUUCGGGGGUACGACGAGCGGCGAACGGGUGAGUAACACGUGGGUGACCUGCCCUCAGCUCUGGGAGUAAGCCCGGGAAACUGGGUCUAAUACCGGAUAUGACUUCAUGACGCAUGUUGUGGAGUGGAAAGCCUUGUGCGGCUGAGGAUGGGCCCGCGGCCUAUCAGCUUGUUGGUGGGGUGAGGCCUACCAAGGCGACGACGGGUAGCCGGCCUGAGAGGGCGACCGGCCACACUGGGACUGAGACACGGCCAGACUCCUACGGGAGGCAGCAGUGAGGAAUAUUGGACAAUGGGCGCAAGCCUGAUCCAGCCAUGCCGCGUGAGUGAAGAAGGCC
rnacentral:rRNA from 1 species